AGGGACACACACACACAAGGCUCCCGACGCUGAAAUGGACUCAGAAAUCCUGAAUCAGCCCAUAAUUCCUCUCUGUUCAAAGCUCCAUGGACUCGAGUGAUGGUGUAUGGAUUCAGUCAUAAAGUGCAGCGUAACGGCCAGCUGAACCUGAUGGGGGCCGUGUGUUUCCCGCUGGACGCCUCUCCGUCCAACACCGGCCUCACUUCUCCACCCACAGCCAACCAGUAUCCUAGCAUCAUUAUCCCCACCGACAAAGUGCACGACAAAUUGGGCGUGUCUCCCCCUCCUGGAGCAGUGCUGGUGUUGCACUCGUUGCUUCUUGAGUUUCCAUUGUCGAUGGCCUUCGCUGAACAGCUGCUAACCUACAGUGUAGGAGAAACCAUAGAGCGCUCUGAGGAUGAGCUGGACACGGUGCCCACUUCUGUGCUCAUUCAGGUCGUGGAGCUGCUAGAACUGUACUGAGUGAGAAAACAACCGUCCUCAAGCCAAAAUCUCCAGAGAAGACCAAACCCGAUGAAAAAGACCCUGAGAAAUCUCCUGCCAAAAAUCUUGAAGGUCAUUAAUAUUACUUUUCUGA
rnacentral:lncRNA from 1 species